rnacentral:rRNA from 1 species
AACGAACGCUGGCGGCAGGCCUAAUACAUGCAAGUCGAACGCCGUAGCAAUACGGAGUGGCAGACGGGUGAGUAACGCGUGGGAAUCUUCCUAAUGGUACGGAAUAGCCCGGGGAAACCCGGAGUAAUACCGUAUACUCCCGUGAGGGGAAAGAUUUAUCGCCAUUAGAUGAGCCCGCGUCGGAUUAGCUAGUUGGUGGGGUAACGGCCUACCAAGGCAACGAUCCGUAGCUGGUCUGAGAGGAUGAUCAGCCACACUGGGACUGAGACACGGCCCAGACUCCUACGGGAGGCAGCAGUAGGGAAUAUUGGACAAUGGGCGAAAGCCUGAUCCAGCAAUGCCGCAUGAGUGAAGAAGGCCUUCGGGUUGUAAAGCUCUUUUGUCAGGGAAGAAACGGUUCUGGAUAAUACCUGGAGCUAAUGACGGUACCUGAAGAAGAAGCCCCGGCUAACUU